rnacentral:misc_RNA from 1 species
AUUCAUGUUGAUUGUACCCACUAAAUUGAGGAGCAAAACGAGCCAGCUUUGCUUUAAAUUGGCGAGGAGGAACUGGUGUCCGACCAGGUGCCCAUAGCUUUCUGAGUAAAUCACCAAAUGCCAUUGCUAGCUCACCCACCAUUCCCAAGGGGUUUUGCCAAUUUAUCUCUUGAUGAUAAUCCCUCCCGGAAGUAUUUUGCAAACUCAGGAGUAUGAACAAGACAUUGUAUUGCACUAUUCAUAAAGCAUGUGUUUCCUAGGUUCUGCAACCCAGUCAGGCCACCAGAAGACCCCCUUGUACUGACACCACUAACCACAUAUGUGUUAUCCAACUCCCCACCUGGAGACGUCAGGUUUUGACCUUGUGACAACUCCACAAUGCAACUUCUAGAAGCACCCUUGCUUGCAGAAAAACCUCCAUUGACAUUGUUAAGAACCUCCACCAGAAUAUCCUGAUCCAUCUGUAUGUUGGCAUCAUCAAGAGUUUUAUCCAUGUCAUGCAUCAAAGCAUGCUUUCGGUGGCCAUAGUAAUCCCAAAUGCAAACUUGUUCUGAGUUGAGA